rnacentral:rRNA from 1 species
GGGCGAUGUUCCGCCGAGUCCUCGCGGCUCGCGCGCGGACACGCUACCGUGCGCCGAUGUCCGGCGCUCGUCGUCGUGCACUUCUCCCCAAGUAGAAUACGCGCAAGGUAUCAGGCCGCACCGUUACGUGUGCCGUCGCGACCCGCUGGGUGUCGGUCUACGGUCCGGGUGCGGUGACUGUCGCGUCGCCGGUAAAACGGMACGCGAMAACCCUCCGGUCGCCCGGCCGGCUGCUCGGCGGGUCNAGGCCGUCGCAAGCGCGCGCCACGGUACUCGGAGGUUACGGACUNUGCGCCGUCCCCGGUCCUGGCCCGCUGUUGGUUAAAUGCGAAUGGACGGUUCACCUUCGACAGGCCUGCGAACGUCUUCCUCCCUCCCUCUCGCGCGCUCCYUCUNNCGGGGGGGGGUCUCGAGAGUCGGAGGUGUCGGAGGACCGA